UACGGGAGGCAGCAGUGGGGAAUAUUGCACAAUGGGCGCAAGCCUGAUGCAGCCAUGCCGCGUGUAUGAAGAAGGCCUUCGGGUUGUAAAGUACUUUCAGCGGGGAGGAAGGCGAUGCGGUUAAUAACCGCGUCGAUUGACGUUACCCGCAGAAGAAGCACCGGCUAACUCCGUGCCAGCAGCCGCGGUAAUACGGAGGGUGCAAGCGUUAAUCGGAAUUACUGGGCGUAAAGCGCACGCAGGCGGUCUGUUAAGUCAGAUGUGAAAUCCCCGGGCUUAACCUGGGAACUGCAUUUUGAAACUGGCAGGCUUGAGUCUUGUAGAGGGGGUAGAAUUCCAGGUGUAGCGGUGAAAUGCGUAGAGAUCUGGAGGAAUACCGGGUGGCGAAGGCGGCCCCUGGGACAAAGACUGACGCUCAGGUGCGAAAGCGUGGGGAGCGAAACAGGGAUUAGGAUACC
rnacentral:rRNA from 1 species